rnacentral:rRNA from 1 species
GCAGUCGAGCGGUAACACAGGGAGCUUGCUCCUGGGUGACGAGCGGCGGACGGGUGAGUAAUGUCUGGGAAACUGCCUGAUGGAGGGGGAUAACUACUGGAAACGGUAGCUAAUACCGCAUAACGUCGCAAGACCAAAGAGGGGGACCUUCGGGCCUCUUGCCAUCAGAUGUGCCCAGAUGGGAUUAGCUAGUAGGUGGGGUAACGGCUCACCUAGGCGACGAUCCCUAGCUGGUCUGAGAGGAUGACCAGCCACACUGGAACUGAGACACGGUCCAGACUCCUACGGGAGGCAGCAGUGGGGAAUAUUGCACAAUGGGCGCAAGCCUGAUGCAGCCAUGCCGCGUGUAUGAAGAAGGCCUUCGGGUUGUAAAGUACUUUCAGCGGGGAGGAAGGUGUUGAGGUUAAUAACCUCAGCAAUUGACGUUACCCGCAGAAGAAGCACCGGCUAACUCCGUGCCAGCAGCCGCGGUAAUACGGAGGGUGCAAGCGUUAAUCGGAAUUACUGGGCGUAAAGCGCACGCAGGCGGUCUGUCAAGUCGGAUGUG